GGGGAAUAUUGCACAAUGGGGGGAAACCCUGAUGCAGCGACGCCGCGUGAGUGAAGAAGUAUUUCGGUAUGUAAAGCUCUAUCAGCAGGGAAGAAAAUGACGGUACCUGACUAAGAAGCCCCGGCUAACUACGUGCCAGCAGCCGCGGUAAUACGUAGGGGGCAAGCGUUAUCCGGAUUUACUGGGUGUAAAGGGAGCGUAGACGGAAGAGCAAGUCUGAUGUGAAAGGUGGGGGCUCAACUCCCAAACUGCAUUGGAAACUGUUCAUCUGGAGUGCCGGAGAGGUAAGCGGAAUUCCUAGUGUAGCGGUGAAAUGCGUAGAUAUUAGGAGGAACACCAGUGGCGAAGGCGGCUUACUGGACGGUAACUGACGUUGAGGCUCGAAAGCGUGGGGAGCAAACAGGAUUAGAUA
rnacentral:rRNA from 1 species